rnacentral:rRNA from 1 species
GACGAACGCUGGCGGCGUGCUUAACACAUGCAAGUCGAACGGUGAAGCGCCUUCCUUUUUGGUGGGUGUGGAUGAGUGGCGAACGGGUGAGUAACACGUGAGUAACCUGCCCCCUUCUUCUGGAUAACCGCAUGAAAGUGUGGCUAAUACGGGAUAUUCUGGGUCUGUCGCAUGAUGGGUCUGGGAAAGAUAUUGUUUCGGUGGGGGAUGGGCUCGCGGCCUAUCAGCUUGUUGGUGGGGUGAUGGCCUACCAAGGCGGUGACGGGUAGCCGGCCUGAGAGGGUGGACGGUCACACUGGGACUGAGCCACGGCCCAGACUCCUACGGGAGGCAGCAGUGGGGAAUAUUGCACAAUGGGCGCCAGCCUGAUGCAGCGACGCCGCGUGAGGGAUGGAGGCCUUCGGGUUGUGAACCUCUUUCGCCAGUGAAGCAGGCCUGCCUCGUUUGUGGGUGGGUUGACGGUAGCUGGAUAAGAAGCGCCGGCUAACUACGUG